rnacentral:rRNA from 1 species
CCUACGGGAGGCAGCAGUGGGGAAUAUUGGACAAUGGGCGCAAGCCUGAUCCAGCCAUGCCGCGUGUGUGAAGAAGGCCUUUUGGUUGUAAAGCACUUUAAGGGAGGUGGAGGCUACUUGGAUUAAUACUCUAGGAUAGUGGACGUUACUCGCAGAAUAAGCACCGGCUAACUCUGUGCCAGCAGCCGCGGUAAUACAGAGGGU